rnacentral:rRNA from 1 species
GACGAACGCUGGCGGCGUGCUUAACACAUGCAAGUCGCACGGGGCCCGCAAGGGUUCAGUGGCGGACGGGUGCGUAACACGUGAAGAACUUGUCCAUCGGUGGGGAGUAGCCGGCCCAACGGCCGGGUAAUACCGCGUACGUCGGCGGGAACGCAUGUUCCUGCCGGGAAAGCAGCAAUGCGCCGAUGGAGAGCUUCGCGGCCUAUCAGCUUGUUGGUGGGGUAAUGGCCUACCAAGGCAACGACGGGUAGCUGGUCUGAGAGGAUGAUCAGCCACAUUGGGACUGAGACACGGCCCAGACUCCUACGGGAGGCAGCAGUGGGGAAUAUUGCGCAAUGGGCGAAAGCCUGACGCAGCGACGCCGCGUGCGGGAUGAAGGCCUUCGGGUCGUAAACCGCUGUCGCCAGGGACGAAACAAAUAGACGGUACCCUGGAAAGGAAGGCACCGGCUAACUCUGUGCCAGCAGCCGCGGUAAU